UACAGAGGGUGCAAGCGUUGUUCGGAAUUAUUGGGCGUAAAGGGUGCGUAGGCGGUGCGGUAAGUCUGUAGUGAGAUCUCUGGGCUCAACUCAGAGUCUGCUAUAGAAACUGCCGUGCUUGAGUGUGGGAGAGGUGAGUGGAAUUCCCGGUGUAGCGGUGAAAUGCGUAGAGAUCGGAAAGAACACCAACGGCGAAAGCACUCUGCUGGGCCGACACUGACACUGAGAGACGAAAGCUAGGGGAGCGAAUGGG
rnacentral:rRNA from 1 species